rnacentral:rRNA from 1 species
UCUGCCCUUCACUCUGGGACAAGCCCUGGAAACGGGGUCUAAUACCGGAUAACACUCUGUCCCGCAUGGGACGGGGUUAAAAGCUCCGGCGGUGAAGGAUGAGCCCGCGGCCUAUCAGCUUGUUGGUGGGGUAAUGGCCUACCAAGGCGACGACGGGUAGCCGGCCUGAGAGGGCGACCGGCCACACUGGGACUGAGACACGGCCCAGACUCCUACGGGAGGCAGCAGUGGGGAAUAUUGCACAAUGGGCGAAAGCCUGAUGCAGCGACGCCGCGUGAGGGAUGACGGCCUUCGGGUUGUAAACCUCUUUCAGCAGGGAAGAAGCGAAAGUGACGGUACCUGCAGAAGAAGCGCCGGCUAACUACGUGCCAGCAGCCGCGGUAAUACGUAGGGCGCAAGCGUUGUCCGGAAUUAUUGGGCGUAAAGAGCUCGUAGGCGGCUUGUCACGUCGGAUGUGAA